GUGGGGAAUAUUGGGCAAUGGGCGCAAGCCUGACCCAGCAACGCCGCGUGAAGGAAGAAGGCUUUCGGGUUGUAAACUUCUUUUGUCAGGGACGAAGCAAGUGACGGUACCUGACGAAUAAGCCACGGCUAACUACGUGCCAGCAGCCGCGGUAAUACGUAGGUGGCAAGCGUUAUCCGGAUUUACUGGGUGUAAAGGGCGUGUAGGCGGGAAAGCAAGUCAGAUGUGAAAACUGUGGGCUCAACCCAUAGCUUGCAUUUGAAACUGUUUUUCUUGAGUACUGGGGAGGCAGAUGGAAUUCCGAGUGUAGCGGUGAAAUGCGUAGAUAUUAGGAGGAACACCAGUGGCGAAGGCGAUCUGCUGGACAGCAACUGACGCUGAGGCGCGAAAGCGUGGGGAGCAAACAGGAUUAGAUACCCUUGUAGUCC
rnacentral:rRNA from 1 species